rnacentral:piRNA from 1 species
AGCUCAUUUAUGAGCAAGCCA